rnacentral:lncRNA from 1 species
AGAGACUAACGCCAAUGAUGGAGAUCUGGCUGGUGAGGAAUCAUUUGUUUUGGAGUCGGAGCCAAGACUGAAUUCCCGGGGAUUUCUGGCGCGAUCGCGUCCAAGUGUCUGGUGUGUAAGGCUCUUCAGUCUGCCCUGAAGCUCAGAGGGCUUCGACAGUACAGAUGCUAGAGGCCUCUGCGAGCAAAGGCGGCGCUGGCCCAGGGGUUCAGGUUCCUGCGAGCGUUGGCCCAUGGCGCUUCCGGAUGCGCUGUCCGGAUCCCCGCCGGACACUUCUGCCCCCGCGGCCCUCUAGUUGGUUCACCAGUUUGCGUUUGAUUCCUGCGCAUUUCUUAUGUGUUAGGCAUAAUAAUAAAGGGUGGGGCAAGCCUCCCCAACUGAGAGAGAUCUCUUUGCCGGAGAACCUGGGGCCUCAACCAGCUCAUGGGACUGUUACCUUCAGCCCGUUGCUAUCCCUAGCUUCUGUAAAACUGCUGGCUUGUACUAAGACCUUUUCAUUCCUGGCUACACAUGAAUUCCCAGAGGAGAGAAUGGGCGCGGAGGAGCUUUAGAAACACCCGUGUCUGAUACCUUCGAAGAUUCUGAUUUAACUGAUCUGUGGUGGGGCCUGGGCAAUGGCACUUGUAUAAAUUAUGCAGGUGAAGCAGGUUUAAGAACCACUGCACUCAAUGAUUUGGAUGAUAGGUACUAUUUAGCAUCUAGAACUGUUAGUCUGAUGUAUGUUUUACACGCUCGAUCAUCCCCUCAAUAGACCCAGGAGCUAAGCGUCAUUAUGCCCUUUUUACCUCAGAAGUGGCUUGCCCAAAUUUGCAGUCUGUAAGUGGUGUUGCAGACCAGCUGCAGGGCCAAGUGCUUUCCUCCAUCUUUCCCAAGAGAGGAAGACGCUAAUGCGCUCAGUAAAACUAACACGCUCUGUAAGGGGUGAAGCUCCACACAACUCAGGCUUAUUCUGGUUUCUGUCAGUAGCGCUCACUUUACCCAGCAAGGAACUGCUUAUUUUACACACUUGACCCUGAAUUCCCCUUGCCACUCACACCUGAGUUUGAACUGCAGCUAAGUAGCCCAGGCAGAGGCUGCCCUGUUUCCACAGUCUUGGUGUGGCUUUAUUUCCUUCUUCCAUGCCUUUGCCCAAUGAUCUUUGCUAUGGCCCUGAAGGCACUGCCUCCCUGGCCUAUAUGGCCCUGUAGCUUUGAAAAGCCUGAAUUCAGGCUGGACAUGGUGGCUCACGCCUGCAAUCCCAGCACUAAAGGCAAGAGAAUUGCUUGAGCCCAGGAGUUCGAGACCAGCCUCGGCAACAUAGACCCCGUCGAAAGAGGGAGGGAGAGAAGACACAGGAGAGACCCCGUCGAAAAAGGAAGGAAGGGAGGGAGGGAGAUGGGAAUACCAAGGAGUGCUUUAAGGUCCCCAUCUCUUGCUGUCACUUCCCCCAUCUGCAGUCUGAUGUAAAGCUUGAGGUAGAUAGAAUGUGGAAAGAGAAAUUGAGGAGUGGGAAGUGUUCAGAGGGGAAACCAUUUAUCUGAAGGUGAGAGCCUUAUGAAAAAUUUUUUGGGCCAGGCGC